rnacentral:lncRNA from 1 species
GUUUAUUUCUUUUCUUUUUCCUUUAGGCAAUUAGGGUUAAGUGACUUGCCCAGGCUCACACAGCUAGUAAGUGUCAAGUGUUGGGUCUGAGACUGGAUUUGAACUCAGCUCCUCCUGACUUCAGGGCCGAUGCUGUAUCCACUGCACCACCUAGCUGCCCUGGAUGUUUAUUUCUUAAUUACUCCCAGAAAGACAGACUCUAUUGCAAUAUUUGGUUUGGAUAUCUGAUGCCUAUUUUGAUUUGAUCCAUUCUGGUAAGAAAGUGAAAUCCUUAGUCAUUGGAGGGGCUAGACAGCCUAUUGAAGUAGGAUUUCUAAGUGGGUAUAAGAUACUGCACAUCCCACAUAAAACCUGGACCACUGGUACUUCCUUUUAGCUCUAGCAGCCAGACGAGCUUUGUUAGCAAGGAGUCGUAAGGACCAACAGUUUCAAGACACCUCAAAAUGCUGGUGGCCCAGAGAUCUCUGAAGACGGUGGUAUUUCUAGUUAUCCUUAUCUGUGCUUGUUUGGGAAUAUCUCAUGAAACUCAAAAGAAAAGGACAGUGUCUGAGUACCAGUUCAUGCAUGAUAAAGGGAAGACCAUGCAAUCCCUGAAAAGGCUAAUGUGGUUAUACAAUGCCAUGGGUGGGGUGCACUCUGCCAGGGGCAGUGCUCCUUCCUACUCAAACAGUCUGUGGAAACUGCAGAAGCGCCUGACCCAUCCUAGUCUGUACAGAGAUACAAGUGGGGUGAACACUCACAACCUGGUGAAGCAAAUGCUGAUUAGCCUGAUGACGGAUGCCCAGCCUACUAGAUUGUAAAAUCCACCCAGACAGAAGUAAUUUCUUAUCCAAGCUUCGUGCCUGGAAUAGUGCUCUGUAUACAGGAGCUGAUUAAUAAAUGCUAGUUGAAUGAAUGCA